GAUGAACGCUGGCGGCGUGCCUAAUACAUGCAAGUCGAGCGAACGGACGAGAGGCUUGCUUCUCUGAUGUUAGCGGCGGACGGGUGAGUAACACGUGGAUAACCUACCUAUAAGACUGGGAUAACUUCGGGAAACCGGAGCUAAUACCGGAUAAUAUUUUGAACCGCAUGGUUCAAAAGUGAAAGACGGUCUUGCUGUCACUUAUAGAUGGAUCCGCGCUGCAUUAGCUAGUUGGUAAGGUAACGGCUUACCAAGGCAACGAUGCAUAGCCGACCUGAGAGGGUGAUCGGCCACACUGGAACUGAGACACGGUCCAGACUCCUACGGGAGGCAGCAGUAGGGAAUCUUCCGCAAUGGGCGAAAGCCUGACGGAGCAACGCCGCGUGAGUGAUGAAGGUCUUCGGAUCGUAAAACUCUGUUAUUAGGGAAGAACAUAUGUGUAAGUAACUGUGCACAUCUUGACGGUACCUAAUCAGAAAGCCACGGCUAACUACGUGCCAGCAGCCGCGGUAAUACGUAGGUGGCAAGCGUUAUCCGGAAUUAUUGGGCGUAAAGCGCGCGUAGGCGGUUUUUUAAGUCUGAUGUGAAAGCCCACGGCUCAACCGUGGAGGGUCAUUGGAAACUGGAAAACUUGAGUGCAGAAGAGGAAAGUGGAAUUCCAUGUGUAGCGGUGAAAUGCGCAGAGAUAUGGAGGAACACCAGUGGCGAAGGCGACUUUCUGGUCUGUAACUGACGCUGAUGUGCGAAAGCGUGGGGAUCAAACAGGAUUAGAUACCCUGGUAGUCCACGCCGUAAACGAUGAGUGCUAAGUGUUAGGGGGUUUCCGCCCCUUAGUGCUGCAGCUAACGCAUUAAGCACUCCGCCUGGGGAGUACGACCGCAAGGUUGAAACUCAAAGGAAUUGACGGGGACCCGCACAAGCGGUGGAGCAUGUGGUUUAAUUCGAAGCAACGCGAAGAACCUUACCAAAUCUUGACAUCCUUUGACAACUCUAGAGAUAGAGCCUUCCCCUUCGGGGGACAAAGUGACAGGUGGUGCAUGGUUGUCGUCAGCUCGUGUCGUGAGAUGUUGGGUUAAGUCCCGCAACGAGCGCAACCCUUAAGCUUAGUUGCCAUCAUUAAGUUGGGCACUCUAAGUUGACUGCCGGUGACAAACCGGAGGAAGGUGGGGAUGACGUCAAAUCAUCAUGCCUCUUAUGAUUUGGGCUACACACGUGCUACAAUGGACAAUACAAAGGGCAGCGAAACCGCGAGGUCAAGCAAAUCCCAUAAAGUUGUUCUCAGUUCGGAUUGUAGUCUGCAACUCGACUACAUGAAGCUGGAAUCGCUAGUAAUCGUAGAUCAGCAUGCUACGGUGAAUACGUUCCCGGGUCU
rnacentral:rRNA from 1 species